UAGAUUGGGUCUUUUAAACGGUAAAGCAGCAAACAAUUCAAGUAAAUUUUAGUUGUGACUUAAAUUAGUUGGGUCAAAGGAACUGUAAAGCUUUUUGGAGCUGGGAGCAAACCAAUCAAUAGACAAGAUGGUUGGAAAAGCUGGUCAUGGUCGUCAGUCUUCUACAGCGUUCUGAGUUUCCUUUUUUUUCACAAUGCUAUAAUCUGACUCCUAUGCUAAUUUAUUGUGUUUUCCAGGCUCUAAUGGUUCCACUACAGCUGAACAGGCAAAACCUACAACUGCUCCCACUUUAAUAUCAACUUUAACAUCCAACAGCAGCACAACUCAGAAUCAAACAACAACUCAGCGGGUCACCACUGAAGCAGCUUCAACCCCCCCAGGAACACUGGGAACAGCUGAAACCACUCCGAGCACUCGUCCUCCGACUACUCUGAUCACAGCAACACUCAAUGAGACAGUUACCCAGAAACACACGGCCUCACCUGGAACACCAAAUGUGGCGACAAACACAACCGUACAUACAACCAGCCAAGCUUCCUCAUCCAUCCGGAUCAAAGGUGACUUGGCGGCAAACCCCGGCCUCAUAGCCAUCAUUUCCCUCUUCUGCAUCGUCCUCGGCCUGACGGUGGUGGUUCUGGCAGUAAAAUGUAUCCAGUCACCAAGAUCCAACUUUGAGAGGCUUGAAGAUGUGCCCAUGGGCAAGGUGAAUGAAGAGUCUCCAUUUGCCCUUUACUCCAAAUGAUGGCGGCGAGGAGAUCUGUCCAGUCUGCAGGGUGGAUCAGAUGUUUCUGGACAUCUCCAGAAAUAUUUUGGACAUCAGUCAGCAGACAUUCCCAUUCUCAGUUCACAUUGUUGUUGCACUUUUGUCAUUGCAAGGGGAACAUUCCUGCUUCUGCUUUGACUUGUUUCUCUGCUGCUGGUAAAUCAAAAUCAAAAUAGUGAUUACAAACAAUAUUUUGCUCGAUUUUAUUUGGUUUAAAAGGAAAAACAUAUAUAUAUAUAUAUUUUCUUUACAAAUAUUGUUGCAUUUAACUUUGUGUUCAAUUGAUAAAAACAAUUAAAUAAUAUAAAAAUUAUAAUUUUAUGACAGUUUUUGGAUAUUUUCACUUUAAAAUUCAGUCAACAGCACCAAAAAUAUUUCAAUAAUUGAAAGUUUGCAAAUGCAUGAGCGAUUUGGAUAUAAAAAUAUGUUCUCCACUGUCGGAGUGUUGAUUAUUAAAUUCAUUUUUUAACUACUGGCAAAGUUAUAUUUAAAAAAAAUGAUUUCUGAAUAAUUGCAGUAAAAAAUCAAAUUUUAAAUCUAAAUAAAUGCUGAGUAAACGCACUAACUAGAAUCAUAUUUGAUUUCUGUAAUCACUCACUUUUAUCCUAUUGUUUUCAGUUGCAUUAACGAUAAAUCCUGUUCUAUAAAGAGAAUAUUUAGCUCCGGUCCACCUUGUUCAAGUCUCCAUAUUGGCAGUGUUACGCCUUUUUUAGUGUCAAUAAAGUUUUAGAUGGAAUGCAAAACAAAGCUCCUGUUGUCUUUUGGAAAUGUGUUUAUUUCUUUAAAAGCUGCUAGUUUAUGUUUUCAGCCAGUGGAGGAUUUUUGCUUUA